AUGAGGAAGGAGGUCAGCCCGUAUCCGGCCGUCCAGGCCUGCAUCCUCCUUGAGCGGGAUCAGGUGGACCGCAUGCUAUUUCCAGGUGUUUCCAAGUCCGUUGGGGUGGGGCAUGUAAGACUGCUCCUUGUCAGCUGGCCUCCUGACGCAGCUGUUCAACAGCCUUUCUUCUGGCACGGUGACAAAGCUGACGUGGCUCUUAGCCUAAACGACUCCAUUUUGUGGAGCAGCCAUUUUAAGGAAAACAGUCACAUAGAAGCCUGACAUACACUAAGAAAGAUGCCAUUGGGUCUUCCCCCACGCA
rnacentral:lncRNA from 1 species